rnacentral:lncRNA from 1 species
AUCUACAGCCUCGUGGCGGACGGGACCUGUUAGGACACGGCCAUUGUGGGCAACAAGGACCCACCUUCCAUCUGUGCCACCGUCCCAGGGAAAACCUUCCUCAACAUCACGCCAGCUGAGGUUGGUGCCCUGGUUGGCAAAGACUGGUCAAGCUUUGUCAUGAAUGGGCUGACACUGGGGGGCCAGAAAUAUACUGUGGUCCUGGACUCACUGCUGCAGGAUGGGGAAUUGACCACGGAUCUUUGUAUGAAGAGCAUCAGUGGAGCCCCCACCUUCAACGUCAUUGUCACCAUGACUGCCAAGACGCUAGGCCUGCUGAUGGGCAAAGAAGGUAUCCAUGGCAAUUUCAUCAACAAGUAAUGUUAUGAAAUGGCCUCCCACCUUCAGCGUUCCCAGUACUGACCUCCUUUGUUCCUUCCACUCCACCGCUCCCCACAGCUUUGCCCGCCUUUCCUUCACAUACACACACCAUUUUAAUUUCAGGAGUCAUUACCCCACACACCUUAUUGCUGCCAAAACCACAUGGGCUGGGGGCCAGGGAUA